GCGGUCGUAGUCUAGACUGGAACAACUCCAGGGAAAACUUGGUCAGGACCUCGGCCUCCCACGCCGACGACCCGGGUUCAAAUCCCGGCGACCGCACCA
rnacentral:tRNA from 1 species